GCACGAAUUGUGCGGAGCCGUCAGUGGUGUGAGAUGGCUCCCUGCCUGGAGGGGGAGGUCUGCAGCCUCCUGUUUAACCGAUCCGGCUGGACCUGCACCAGGGGCAGCGGUCGCAUCAAGACUGUCACGCCUUUGCCUAAGGAGCCGUCGUAGGAUGCAGAAAAAAAGUAUGUUCUUGACAUCCGUGCUUCAAAAGAAACUGAGGCCAAUCACUACACCAGAACAUUGUGUCCAUUUGACAGUGAGGCUCCCAAACUUCACACAAGGCUUGACCUUCAGUAAAAAAAUUUAAAAAACACACAAAAAACAACAACCCAGCUUCUCCAAUCACCUCAGUAAAAGACUCAAAGCAGACACUUCUGAGAACUCUGAGGAAUCUCAAGUGAGCAGCAUGGUAUACCAUCUGCACUGAAUCUUCAACGCAACCAAAAUCACGGACACACCAUAGAACAAAAUACCUGUGAGGAACAGUUAUCAACAGGGCAGUGGAAUAUACAUUGAAGUACAUUACCCUUUUUUGUCGUUGUUAUCCAACAUCAGGUCUGCAGGGAACGGCUCCUUGAAGAUUUUUUGUACCUUUGUGGCUUGAUUUAGUCUUGUCAGAAGGUCUUUCAAAAGUCAGCCCCUUCAUCUUCUUUACUAUCCCUGCUAUUAAGCUGUCCAGGGUUAUACUCCAGCCAAGUUUCUUUAAUGACAGCUCGCUGCUAAAGAGCUGUGACUUUACAGAGGUUGAGCCAGGCCGUAUCAUCCAUUGGAUUCUUGCCUUUAACACGUUUCUCUCAUUUGGCUGGGUGAACCUUUACAAGCCCGUAGCCUCCAAAAUCUCUGCAUAUACACAGGACGGUUGUGAAGGACAUUGUGUAAAAGCUUGAAAAGUAUAUUGGAAUGUCACAGAAGAGACAACAUAGAUGAACUGACUGGCUGUCCUCAGUGAAUGAAGGUGAUUAUAGUGAAAUGUGGACAUUUUGGACAACUUAGCUUAUAAUUUAUGUUUUUUAUGUGGUGCCAACAUAGACUAGAAGAGUAUUUUUUGUCAAUGAUCCUCACACAUCUUGUACACACCACUGGAAACAUUUAGCAGAUGUGGACCCCUGGCUCAUCUUAAUGUCUCAUUUAAUGUCUGUGUGUGUGUGUGUGUGUGUGUGUGUGUGUGUGUGUGUGUGCGCGUGCGUGCGUGCGUGCGUGCGUGGGGCUGUGUGGCUGUGUGUGUUUGUGUGUGUGUGGCUGUGUGUCAGUGUGCGUGCACAUCCAGAGAUACACUGUGAAAUAAAUAAUAUCGAAUGCAUUAUUCAUACUCUUGUAUAUUUUUGGGACACGCCCAGACCAGAGCUCACCAUCUGGCAAAAGAAGCCUUUGCGAUUUUACAGAUGUUAGAUCUCAUUCAUCUCUUCACGGAUGAAUCCUGGGUUCACCUUUUGUUUUCUUUCUUGUCCUUUCUUUAGUAAAUUGAGAUAUUUAUAUUGGGGGGAAAUAUUAUUGAAACUGGGGACCGAUCUACAUUAUAUCACAUAAGUUAAAUUCUGUAAUUAUAACCAAUUCAUGUGUGAUUAAAUGUAUUCAGAAUACUUGUCUAAAUUGACUAUAUUUUGAUAUGAAAUGUUUUGACCAGCUGAAAGUGCUAUUUGCUGAUUUCAGAUGCUUGAUAUAUUUGAAAUUAUGUAUAUGUAUAUAUAUAUAUAUAUUCAAUUAAUGUAUUGUUAUGUGGGUCUCAUUCCAAGAGGAGAUAAAGAAAAGUAGGAGGACAAGAGGCAUUCUUCUAAGAGAAGUACAAGAGGUGGACACAAUAACACGAACACCAGUAAGAUAUUAAAAACACAGAAUAAAACACAAUCCUUAUACCACAACACAACAACCUACAGUUUGGUCUGCAAGAUCUCUCUGAUGCAGUUUAAAAAAAAAUAACCUUCAAGGAAGUAAUGUUUGUUGCAGGGUGAUUGCAAUAUAUUGUACAGAUGUUCCUAUUAAUGUAUCUACACGUUGUUUUUUCAUUUCUUUGUACUAAAAUUUCCUGUACAUCCCCAUCUUAAUGUAUGCAUUUGAGGAUAUAAAGAGAGUGUCCGCUCCCGGGAGCUGCGGAGUGUGUA